GGCGAGUGAAGCGGCAAAAGCUCAAAUUUGAAAUCUGGCUCUUUCAGAGUCCGAGUUGUAAUUUGAAGAAGGUAUCUUUGGGUCUGGCUCUUGUCUAUGUUUCUUGGAACAGAACGUCACAGAGGGUGAGAAUCCCGUGCGAUGAGAUGAUCCAGGCCUAUGUAAAGUUCCUUCGAAGAGUCGAGUUGUUUGGGAAUGCAGCUCUAAGUGGGUGGUAAAUUCCAUCUAAAGCUAAAUAUUGGCGAGAGACCGAUAGCGAACAAGUACAGUGAUGGAAAGAUGAAAAGAACUUUGAAAAGAGAGUGAAAAAGUACGUGAAAUUGUUGAAAGGGAAGGGCUUGAGAUCAGACUUGGUAUUUUGUAUGUUACUUCUUCGGGGGUGGCCUCUACAGUUUAUCGGGCCAGCAUCAGUUUGGGCGGUAGGAGAAUUGCGUUGGAAUGUGGCACGGCUUCGGUUGUGUGUUAUAGCCUUCGUCGAUACUGCCAGCCUAGACUGAGGACUGCGGUUUAUACCUAGGAUGUUGGCAUAAUGAUCUUAAGUCGCCCGUCUUGAAACACGGACCAAGGAGUCUAACGUCUAUGCGAGUGUUUGGGUGUAAAACCCGUACGCGUAAUGAAAGUGAACGUAGGUGGGGGCCCGUAUGGGUGCACCAUCGACCGAUCCUGAUGUCUUCGGAUGGAUUUGAGUAAGAGCAUAGCUGUUGGGACCCGAAAGAUGGUGAACUAUGCCUGAAUAGGGUGAAGCCAGAGGAAACUCUGGUGGAGGCUCGUAGCGGUUCUGACGUGCAAAUCGAUCGUCG
rnacentral:rRNA from 1 species